GUGCCAGCAGCCGCGGUAAUACGGAGGGGACUAGCGUUGUUCGGAAUUACUGGGCGUAAAGCGCGCGUAGGCGGAUUUGCAAGUCGGGGGUGAAAUCCCGAGGCUCAACCUCGGAACUGCCUUCGAUACUGCAAAUCUCGAGUCCGGAAGAGGUGAGUGGAAUUCCUAGUGUAGAGGUGAAAUUCGUAGAUAUUAGGAAGAACACCAGUGGCGAAGGCGGCUCACUGGUCCGGUACUGACGCUGAGGCGCGAAAGCGUGGGGAGCAAACAGGAUUAGAAACCCUCGUAGUCC
rnacentral:rRNA from 1 species